GGGCCGAUAGCUCAAUGGUUAGAGCCGGCCGCUCAUAACGGUCUGGUUGCAGGUUCGAGUCCUGCUCGGCCCA
rnacentral:tRNA from 2 species